rnacentral:pre_miRNA from 1 species
CACAUACUCCCUCCGUCAUGAAUUAUUUGUCACGGAAAUAGAUAUAUCUAGAUGUAUUUUUUUAUUCUAGAUACAUUCGUUCCUAUCAUUUUUGCGACUAGUAAUUCGGGACGGAGAGAGUAUAUC